rfam:Triticum aestivum genome assembly, contig: Triticum_aestivum_CS42_TGACv1_scaffold_604628_7DL
AGCUGCGUGGUGGGCACAAAGCGAACUAUUCUUUCGCCUUUUACUAAAGAAUACCGUGUGCACGCCACACAUGUGCAGCAUACUCUAAUUUUUAAAGGGUGGCCUCCUCUCUUUUGAGGGAA